GUGGGGAAUUUUGGACAAUGGGCGCAAGCCUGAUCCAGCAAUGCCGCGUGCAGGAAGAAGGCCUUCGGGUUGUAAACUGCUUUUGUACGGAACGAAACGGUCCUGGCUAAUACCUGGGGCUAAUGACGGUACCGUAAGAAUAAGCACCGGCUAACUACGUGCCAGCAGCCGCGGUAAUACGUAGGGUGCGAGCGUUAAUCGGAAUUACUGGGCGUAAAGCGUGCGCAGGCGGUGCUGUAAGACAGGCGUGAAAUCCCCGGGCUCAACCUGGGAAUUGCGCUUGUGACUGCAGUGCUGGAGUGCGGCAGAGGGGGAUGGAAUUCCGCGUGUAGCAGUGAAAUGCGUAGAUAUGCGGAGGAACACCGAUGGCGAAGGCAAUCCCCUGGGCCUGCACUGACGCUCAUGCACGAAAGCGUGGGGAGCAAACAGGAUUAGAUACCCGGGUAGUCC
rnacentral:rRNA from 1 species